rnacentral:lncRNA from 1 species
CCUUAUUUUUUUUCAUGCCUCUCUCUUUCACAUAAGCAAAAUUAUCAAUUAAGCGGGUUAUAAGUCCAUUAUUAUACUUGCUCAGAGGAGUACAGAAUAGUGGUCAGAAUAAAUAAGCCAUAGAUUAGUCUUAGAAUCAUCAUCAUCAUCAUCCAGGGCGCGCGCGCCGCGGCGGCCAGCAUUAUCUACAACUUGGUCUUCUUCACUUUCAACCUUCCUUUCCCCUCCCCUGCUCAUUCCUUCCUGAGCGCACCAAAAUUCAGCUAGUGUAAAAGUAGUAUGUUUUUUUCUUCUAGUUCUUCACUUAGAACUAAGUAAAUAUUUAACCCGCCCCCAAGAGCUGACACUAGCCAUGAGCACAUGAUGAUGAUUCUUCCAUAUGAGCAAGUAAACCCCAAAAAGUUGCAUGAGCCAACAGAAACAUGAGGUUUCUUGGUUGGGGGUCUUGUUCUUCAGGUCUCCACCGCCAGGCUGCUGCUGCCGCCGCUGGAGAGGCUCGCGUUCGUCCCGUCCUGCUCCAUCAUCGCCGCCUUCCUCUUUCUGCUGCCGCCGCCGCAGUCACCCGUGAUUCCGGUGGCGGUCACCUCGGCUGGCACUUCCUCCGCCGCCGCCGGCUCGGCUUGUGCUUGCUCUGCUUUCUGCUGCUGCCGAGGCUUCUCUUGUGUCUGUGGCUGCUGCUGCUCUGUCUGUGGCUUCUGCUGCGGCUGCGGCUGCGGCUGGAGCUGGGGCUGCUUCCGCCGGACCAGGUGAGACUUGAGCUUCUUCAUGUCGGCGAGCUUCACGGGCUUGAGGAAGAACUCCUCCGCGCCAUCCUCCAAGCACCUGAAAACCAAAUCCCGACCACUCCAUUCAUUCUCCAGCCAGCACACGAACAAACAAGAUAGAUUUUUUACUGCAUCAACUGUACACUGAACAAGAGAGAAAAGAUUUGCAAUCCUUCUAACAUUUCCCACUUCGGUUUGCGGCCACAUCACUCAAAGGAAAAAAGGACACGCCGGCAGCAGUACAUGUCAGAUAUCUUUGCCCGGACAAGCAAAAGAUACGGUCUUUUGGGGUUUCCAGGCCCUUUUGACUCACACCCAAUGGCCUACUUUAAUGCCAAGUGUUCCUUUUUUUCUAUUCACCACUAGCAGCACCAAGUGGCCACAGAAAUUUUCAUAAAAAGAGGAGCAGCAACAAUUUUCUUUUUCCCAACAAAUCUUUGAGUUGAGCCCGAAAAGAUUUUGCCAGAUCUUGACCACCCACCACUGAUGAUGACAGGAACAUAUUUGCUCUUAAAUGCUUUGGGUCAUUGUCACAAGGAUAUGCAAUCUAUGCAUGAAAACACCCCGCGUUUAUGGCCCCUCAAUUGUGGUCGAGACCACAUCAACGGGACUGUUGCGGGGGCGAAUUCCUCGGCUUUUUCUCCACUUGUCACGCCCUGCUAUAUCGCCAAUGCCAUUGUUCACAUCCGACGGGCCAAAUCUUUCAUGCUUGGAUUCUAUCGCCACGUUAUUUCAGCAACUAUUUGGAGGUUUGCGGAAACUUUUCCGGCAAAGUAAAGUUUAUUCAGAAACACAUUUCCUGUGGUCUGAAUGUCAAUUUUAGAAAUUGUCUUCCUCCAGAAGAAGAACAUUGAAUUUUAUGAGGAUUUUCUUUGCGAGUUUCGGGGCUAGCAGUGCCAAACUACUAGACAGCCUAUUUUCUGGACGAAUGAACGGCUGACUGGCUAGCCUUUUCACUCCUAUAAAAAGGCACGAAUUCAGGGUGGAAAAGUUGCAAAUCUUUUAUGCUAUUUAAUAAAAAACCAAUCCCAAGGUCUGAAGAGGCCUCCUUGCAAAUAUAAAUUGAUAUCCAUUGGCCAUUCAACUACUCCUCCUUUAAGCAAAAACUGCUGGUACUCUAUGAUGGCAAGAUAUUCCUUCUGCUCCCCACCACAGCCCCCUACCCCUACCCCUACCCCCAUCUCAUCAUACAGUACAUAAAAGGACCAUGUACUGCACUGUUAAACCAGACACGAGAACAGUAAAAACAAAUCAUUCCCAUUUACUACAACACGCCGAUUUCAUGAGCUAGUACUAGCUAGAUCAACCAUGGUGGCUAGGGUAAAAAGUAUGGGCAGAAGUGAGCGGAGCAGAGCAGAGCAUUCGUGGGGUGCAUGAGUGAGUGAGGUUAUGGUGCUGACCUGCUGAUCCUGGCAGGCACAUUCUCAGAGGACAUGAUCACCACCGGAAUGUCCUUCAGUGAGGAUGACCCCUGCACAACCCAGGAUUAAGCAGCAACUUUUUGGGACCGAGAUGCAGGGAUGAAUUGAUGGAUGGAUGGUGGGAUUGAAAGGGGGGGCUCUGCAAAAUGGUUUUACCUUGACCCUCCUCAGCAGAUCGUAUCCUGUCAUGCCCGGCAUGCAGUAGUCAGUGAUGAUCAAAUUCACGCCCACCUCCUGCCACAAAAAGGUUGACAGCAUCACGUGGCCGGUUUCAGAUCUCGUUCCAUGGCGCAACCACCGAGAAGAUGAGAAGAAUGAAUCGAGUAUAGCUGAUUUUGCUGCUGGCAGUACCUGAUGGUGGUCGGGGGCGGAGGAGGAGGGAGGGGAUGAGGAUGAGGAGGAUGAGGAGGAGGAGUCCUCGUCUCUCAAUCCCAGCACCUCCAGCGCCUUGCUCCCGGAGUCCACCGUGGUCACUGCACGCGCCGCUCGCAGAGAAAAGAACCCGGCCGUGAGAUUUGGGGAAGAAGAGCAGCAGAAAGAAGAACCCGGCAAGUUUCAACCUGGAAGAGGUUGGGCUCACCUUGGUAGGAGGAGGUCUUGAGCAGCAUCUCGAUGAGCUUCCGGUCGAUGACGCUGUCGUCCACCGCCAGGACGUGGAACCGGGACUCGGCGUCCACCACCGUCAUGGCGCGUCCAGGCAGGAAGAAGAGCCAAUCCUGGCGCUCAGGCAGAGUGGAAGGAGGAGGAGGAGGGAAAUCUCGCCGGUCACUCCGUCGCCGCCGUGGGGGAGAGGAGGAGAGGAUUUGAGGGAGACGGUGGAAGUGCUGCGUUGGUGGCUAAUGCGGCAUCUCGGGGCUGGGAGGGAGGGCUACGGGGAGGAUAUAGGCGCGCUGGACGACAUGAUUCAUUCACACCACACCAUGGCAGCACCCACCACCGCCACCGCCACCGCCUCGGCCUCUUCUUCCCGGGAAAGCAGGAUCCGACCAGAUCACGGACCCGAAUCUCCACAGCAAAUCGCCUCCAUGAUUUCCCCUCCUUUACCUCCUCGUGGCCACUCUCUCUCUCUCUCCUCCUCUGUCUCGGUGGUGGUGGUGGGUUUGAGGAGAGCGCUCUCUUCUUUGGCUUUGGAAGCGGGCGGAGCAGCGCAAGCCGGUUGAUUUCCUCUGCCAUUUAUCGGUGCCGUGCUCAGUGCGUCGUGGAUCGGUCCCUCUGCUUUCUUCGAGAUUCGUGCGGGCUGCCACGCCACGCCACGUCCCGUGCUACAUACAGAUUGCAGAGUCUCAUUUUUACCGCCCGAUGUGGCUUGAAACUCAACCACUCGUACCACUUCGUCCCAAAAUAAGUGACUCAAAAAUAAUUUAAUUUUAUACUAACUUUAGUAUAAAAUAGAGUCAUUUUUAAGUCACUUAUUUUGAGACGGACCAUCCCACAGACUGUCCCGCGAUCCGUCCGGCUUCGAUCUAGUGCCGAACGGACAACACCUCCGCGUUCAGCACACGUACACCUCAACGAUGAUCUCGGCCUUCUUGAUCCAGCAAGCAAGACGGAGAAGUAGAUGAAUUUUAUGGCAGCGUGACAGCGCUCCGAUGGUGGUGAAGGAUCUACUCCCGCAGGGCUCCGCCCAAGCUCCGCAGAAAUACGAUCUAGAGGUAAAACUAUGGUGUCUAGAUUUGAGUUGCACGCGGCAAAGUUGUCUGAAAUCAGCCCUAAAUCAACACUAUAUAUAGGAGGGAGGGGAAGGAGGCUUGCCUUGAGGGCAAGGGUGCACCGGAAAGGGAGGAGGAGGAGUCCUACUCCAAUCCUAGUCCAACUAGGAUCGGAAAGUGGAGUCCUUCUCUUCCUUCCCACAUUUCCUUUUUUUCUUUGGUUCUGUCUAUGGCGCAUAGGCCCUCUUGGGUUGUCCCACCAGCCCACUAAGGGCUGAUGCGCCACCCAUAGGUCCUUUGGGCUUCCUCCGGGAGGGUUGCCCCCCUCCCGGUGAACUUCCGGAACCCAUUCGUCACUCCCGGUACAUUCCCGGUAAUGCCCGAAAACUUUCCGGUAACCAAAUGAAGUCAUCCUAUAUAUCAAUCUUCGUCUUUGGACCAUUCCGGAAACCCUUGUGAUGUCUGUGGUCUCAUCCGGGACUCCGAACAACAUUCAGUAACCACACAUAUAACUCAACUAUACUAAAACAUCGCCGAACCUUAAGUGUGCAGACCCUACGGGUUCGAGAACUAUGUAGACAUGCCCCGAGGUACUGCUCGGUCAAUAUCCAAUAGAGAGACCUGGAUGCCCAUAUUGGAUCCUACAUAUUCUCCGAAGAUAUUAUCGCUUGAACCUCAGUGUCAAGGAUUCAUAUAAUCCCGUAUGUCAUUCCCUUUGUCCUUCGGUAUGUUACUUGCCCGAGAUUCGAUCGUCGGUAUCCGCAUACCUAUUUCAAUCUCGUUACCGGCAAGUCUCCUUACUCGUUUUGUAAUACAAGAUCCCGUGACUUACACUUAGUCACAUUGCUUGCAAGGCUUGUGUGUGAUGUCGUAUUACCGAGUGGGCCCCGAGAUACCUUUCCAUCACACGGAGUGACAAAUCCCAGUCUUGAUCCAUACUAAUUCAACGGACACCUUCGAAGAUACCUGUAGAACACAUUUAUAGUCACCCAGUUAUGUUGUGACGUUUGAUGCACACAAGGUAUUCCUUCGGUGCCAGUGAGUUAUAUGAUCUCAUGGUCAUAGGAACAAAUACUUGACACGCAGAAAACUAUAGCAAUAAAACGACACGAUUAAUAUGCUACGUUCAUAGUUUGGGUCUAGUCCAUUACAUGAUUCUCCUAAUGAUUUGAUCCAGUUAUCAAGCAACAACACUUUGCACAUAGUCAGAAAACCUUGACUAUCCUUGAUCAAUUGGCUAGCCAACUAGAGGCUUGCUAGGGACAUUGUUGUGUCUAUGUAUCCACACAUGUAUCUAUGUUUUCAUUCAAUACAAUUAUAGCAUGGAUAAUAAAUGAUUAUCUUUAAACAGCAAAUAUAAUAAUAACUAUUUAUCAUUGCCUCUAGGGCAUAUUUCCAACAUUUCCAUCGUGUCAUCGCAGAAUCAUCCCAGCUGUCGAUGAACCAUCGGAGAGGAUGAAUGCACCAUCAAUAGAUAACACAACCUGGCCUUCUCAUGAACUCAGCCAUACAAGGGACUGCGUGGAAUGCUAUGUUGGACGUCCAAGUCCUGGAACAUCGGCAUCUUUCCAUUGGUAAUCGCAUCAGUAGAAAAUCUCCUGCACAUGUUCAACGAGUUCAUAUAACUCUGAAGAUAAUCAGCAGUUACAGCCACUGAUGGAAGAUCUUUCCCAUGCGCUAAAUCUGAACGAAGGGACCAAAUUCUCCAUAACAGCAUAAUUGUGCAGUCCCGCAUGGUAUCAUCACAACUAGCAAGUAUGUUGAGCGGCCACUCCUGACCUGUAUCCUACACCAAUUCUUGUCUUGGAAAUCUCCACACAUUCCGCAUCUAUGACCAAACCCCUCUUGGAUGCUGAUGACCCACAAGUCUAGGGGAUCAAUCGUAGUCCUUUCGACAAGUAAGAGUGUCGAACCCAACGAGGAGCAGAAGGAUCUGACAAGUGGUUUUCAGCAAGGUAAAAUCUACAGGCACUGAAAUUGUCGGUAACAAGUGAUUGUGUGGUGAGAUGAUUCGUAGUAAGCAACAAGUAACAAAAGUAGCAACGAUGCAGCAAAGUGGCCCAAUCCCUUUUGUAGCAAGGGACAAGCCUGGAUAAAGUCUUAUAGGAGGAAAAACGCUCUAGAGGACACACGGGAAUUUCUGUCAUGCUAGUUUCAUCAUGUUCAUAUGAUUCGCGUUUGUUACUUUGAUAGUUUGAUAUGUGGGUGGACCGGCGCUUGGGCACUGCCCUUACUUGGACAAGCAUCCCACUUAUGAUUAACCCCUCUCGCAAGCAUACGCAACUACGAAAGAAGAAUUAAGACAAAGUCUUACCAUAGCAUUAAAGUAGUGGAUCCAAAUCAGCCCCUUACGAAGCAACGCAUAAACUGGGGUUUAAGCUUCUGUCACUCUAGCAACCCAUCAUCUACUUACUACUUCCCAAUGCCUUCCUCUAGGCCCAAAUAAUGGUGAAGUGUUAUGUAGUCGACGUUCACAUAACACCACUAGAGGAAAAACAACAUACAACACAUCAAAAUAUCGAACGAAUAUUAAAUUCACAUGACUACUAUUAGCAUGACUUAUCCCAUGUCCUCAGGAACAAAAGUAACUACUCACAAAGCAUAAUUAUAUUCAUGACCAGAGAGGUAAUGAGUAGCAUCAAGGAUCUGAACAUAAACUCUUUCACCAAGUAAUCCAACUAGCAUCAACUACAAAGAGUAAUCAACACUACUAGCAACCUUACAAGUACCAAUCGGAGUCGCGAGACGGAGAUUGGUUACAAGUGAUGAACUAGGGUUUGGAGAUGAGAUGGCGCUGAUGAAGAUGUUGAUGGUGACAAGUCCCCUCCAAUGAGAGGAGUGUUGGUGAUGAUGAUGGCGACGAUUUCCCUCUCCGGGAGGGAAGUUUCCCCGGCACGAUCGUCCUGCCGGAGCUCUAGAUUGGUUCUGCUCAAGUUCCGCCUCGUGGCGGCGGCGAAUCCACGAAAAAUCUCCUCCCUGAUUUUUUCCUGGACGAAACCCUUCAUAUAGCAAAAGAGGGGGGCCAGUGGGCCAGCAGGCUGCCCACAAGCCCUCAUGGCGCGGUAUUGGGGCUGGCCGCGUCGUGCAAGCUUGUGGCCACCUUCUCGCGCCCCUUUGGCGCUUCUUCGGCCAAGUAUUUUUUAUAAAUCCGGAAAAAAAUCCUCGUUGAUUUUUACGGUGUUUGGACUUGCGCAGAAUAGGUAUCUCAACUUUGCUCCACUCUCAGGCCAGAAUUCCAGUUGCCGGCAUUCUCCCUCUUAUGUAAACCUUGCAAAAUAAGAGAGAAAAGGCAUAAGUAUUGUACCGUGAUGUGAAAUAACAGUCCAAGAAGCGAUAAAUAUCAACAUGAAAACAUGAUGCAAAAUGGAGGUAUCACAUGCUCGCAUGAUACCAAGGCAUGGAAGCUAGUCUCCUUCUCCCUCCCGCACAACGGACAACCAUCCGAGGUAGAAACGUUCCUAUAUUUUUUGCACUCAUUUGUUGCAAGACCUCCAAAGACAGCCUUCCAAGCCAUGAUUCUCAUUUCUAGAGGAAUUUGUGCACUCCAAAUUCGCUUCCAAAUAGGUCGUUGACCUGACGGGUGACUGGUAGAAGACCCAGCCCCAAACGAUGACUAAACCUCCAUCGCAAGACGAUAGGCGCUUCUAACAGAGAAUUGUCCACUUCUUUCCGGGAACAAAGCAAUAAAAUACUACGUGUUACGACGUGAGAUUUGAAUCUUCAUAAUUUCACGGACAUCCAGGUCCCAAAAAUACUCCCUUAGCCUUUGCUCAUUCCAUGCAACAUGUUCAUUCAAGAAGUGAGCCACCCAAUUGAAUCGACAGUUGCCUUUUGGAGUGACCGGCCGUAAGUUAUGCCCGCGCGGAAUCCAAGCAUCUCUCUAAGUCUUGAUUAAGGUACCAUCACCGACACACCAAAUAAUUCCUUUUUUGAGAAGUUCAAGUCCGUGGACAAUCCCUUUCCAUACUGCUGAAGAAUUAGAGGAAAAAACAGUGUCCAACAAGUUCCCACGUGGAUAGUAUUUAGCUUUCAGUAAGCGGGCGCACAGGCUGUCUUGUUAAUCUAGCAGUCGCCAGGCUUGCUUGGAUAACAAGGCCUGGUUGAAAGCCCGCAUGUCUCCAAAUCCCAUGCCCCCAUAGAUUUGGGUAGCGUCAUCUUCUCCCAGCUUAGCCACGCCAUCUUCCUCUUACUAUUCUCCACACCCCACCAGUAUUGCCUCAUCAUUUUUGUUAGAUCAUCACAUACUAAUGGAGGCAGUCGGAACAUGCUCAUGACAUAGGUUGGAAUUGCUUGCGCCACAGCCUUAAUCAGGAUAUCUUUGUUCCUAGAAGACACAUAUUGUUCACUCCAGUCAACAAGCCUUUUUUUAAUCUCUCCUGAAGGGUCUCAAAUUGCCCCUUAUCCAUUCUCCCUUCUGGCACAGGUAAGCCUAAGUACUUUGGUUCGAACACCUGUUGUGUAAUCUCAAGGAUGCCUUUGACCUCGGCAGCCACUAACUCAUUACAAUUCUUUGAAAAAAGAAUGGAACUUUUCACGGGGUUUAUAAGUCGACCCGUCGCCGAAGCAUAAGUGUUCAACAAACCUUUGAUAAUGCCCGCUUGCUGGGACGAAGCUUCAAAAGGCAACAUUGUAUCAUCCGCAAAAAGAAGGUGAGAUAUAACCGGUGCACCUCGACAUAUACUUACUCCCUCCAGGUUCCCAUUAGUCACUGAUUUAGACAGGAGAGCAAAUAAAGCAUCAGCAACAAAUAGGAAUAAGAGCGGGGACAAUGGGUCACCUUGUUGAAGACUCCUAGAAGGUGUGAAAGCAUGAAGUAAUUUCCCAUUAGAUUUUACAGAAUAUCUAACACACCUACACAAGUCAUAAUCCAUGCAAUCCACUCACUAGAGAAGCCCCAUUUACCUAGAGCCUGCUCCAGAAAAUUCCAGUCUAUAUGAUCAUACGCCUUCGAAAGAUCAAGCUUGUAAGAACAUGCAGCCUCACCAUUAUUUUUCAAAGACUGAAUGUGGUGGAUGCAUUCAAAGGCAAUGAUCGAGUUAUCCGAGAUGAGCCACCCUAGAAUAAAAGCACUUUGGUUUUCAGAAAUCAGGUCCAUGAGCAACGGUCGAAGACGAUUAACCAAGCACUUAGACACAAUCUUAUAGAUUACAUAGCACAAACUGAUUGGCCUAAAAUUCUUCAACUCCUUAGGGUGGGGAAUUUUCAGGAUUAGAACAAUCUCGUAUCAUUUACACCGUCCAACAUUAAGCCCGUUAUGAAGAACUCGAGAACAACAACAAUGAUUUUAGCUUUGAGAGCAGACCAAUUACGUUGGUAAAACCUAGCAGGGAACCCAUCUGUACCGGGGGGCUUUCAAAGGACCAAUCUGGAAAAGUGCAUCUGAAAAUUCUUCUUUUGAGAAUGGAGCACAUAAGAUAUCGUUCAUAUGCGAAGUUACCUUCGACAAAAUACCCUCAAGCACAACCUCCGGUGAUAAGGUCGGGUCUUUCGUAUAUACCUCUUUACAGUAGGAGGUAGCCAUAUGCUCCAUCUCAGUUGGUGCAGAAUACCAAGAGCCAUCGGCACGAAUAUAGUUCCAGCGUGCCCGCCAUAAUGCACGCUCGUGGAGAUAACCAGUGUUUCGCUCACCUUGCUUCAACCAUGUGAUAUGUGACCUUUGAAUCCACAUCAUCUCCUCUCGGUAUAGGAGCUCGUCAAGCUGACUCAUUUUUUGUCUAAUCAUGGCCCUAUUAGCAUCCUGCAGCUGUAAAUCAGCCUAUUCAGAUCCCAACUUCUCUAGUUAGAUCGUAAGAUGGCCAAAGUUCUCUUUGCUCCAUAACCACAACUUAUUCAUCAUUUCAUGUAAUGCCUCGCGGACAACCCCAAGGUUGCCGGCGGGUUUACUCCUAGCCACCACGUUGGUUAGUGCAGGAUGUCGUUCCCAUAUAGUUUCGUACCUAGGCGAGGCUCUAGUCUCACUCGGUUCCACCAGAGAGAGAUGAAUCAACACACAACUAUGAUCUGAGCAAGACGAAGCCAAAUGAAGAAUCUAUGUGAAUGGAAAGAGGUCCCUCCGAGCUUCAUCAAUACAGGCUCUGUCUAGACAAACUCGGACAUUUCUAUCUCCCACUUGGCCGUUGUCAUAAGUAAAUGGAGCCCCACAGAAACCUAGGUCCAAUAGCUCACAUGAUAUUAGACAGUCUCGAAACAACAACAUCUAAUUUUCUGGACAUUGGGAUCGAGAAAAGUGCUCGUGCCAUCACAUUACCUCAUUGAAGUCACCGCGCACUAACCAUGGAUCCGAUGUAGAGGUACGUAGCUGAGAAAGAGUACACCACAUGCGAUGACGGUUCUUCACACGCAGUUUUUGAUACACAAAAGUUGUCCUCCAUGCCUUGUCAUUUGCAACAUCCACAAUAUACACGUCAAUAUACCGUGCACAAGAGUCCAAAACUGUUACUUGAAGCUUUUGAUCCCAACAUAGUGCAAGCCCACCGUUUAGCCCAUCACUUGACACACCCGCAAAACCCUUCAUAUGUAAUCUCCACUUGAGAUUCUCCAUCAUUGCCGAGGCUUGUCUUGUUUCUCAUAGAAAAACUAGAACCGGGGAAUUGGCUUUAGAGAGGGCCAAAACCUAGCAAACUGUUUGGCGGUUCCCCUCGGUAGUUUCAACUAUCAGAUUCAUUGUGCCCGGCGGUGCUCCUCGAAGGAGGCCGUCGAUAUUUCUUCAGAUGCACCAUCAGACUCAACACGGGAUCUCUUACUAUUGUUGCUGCUAGUUGGUGAAUUAGGUUCGGAAUCAACCUCAGCAUUGCCUUGGGUAAUAGCCAAGACGCCCUUCAGAGUGCUCAGCACUUCUCCCGUCCUCGGGACCUCCUUUUCCACUGUCAACCUUUUCCUAGGUGAAGGAUCCACCUGCAUAUGUUCACGGCCAGAUUUUAAUGGGAUUGAAGUAGUAUCCAAGUCAUCUGGGUCUGCAACAACUUUUCCUGUCGUGUCUGUCUGUGGCGGAUGCGAAACAGACUCCUUGUGACCACUCCCAUGACUAAAAGCUUUAUUAUAUUGAGGUUUAUUAAGCCCAUCUUCAUAAAGCCAUGCACCAUACUUCUUGUCCUUCUCCUCAUGUAUGCCUAUGCCGCAUUUCUUACAAUCAUGCCCAAUCAGUUCACUGAUGGCGAGUUGAUGGAUGUACUUCUCGCCCCUCAUUGGUUACCCCAAGUGAAAGGUGGAGAUGUAGUCAGGAGCAGAUUUUCCUUACAUGGAGACUGUAAGGUUUAUCGAACCAGGAGGACUCCUAGGCUCAACAAGUAGGUUUCUUCCACCCUGGCGCUAGCAGAAGACUUGGACCUGCACACACAACAAAUAACUUUGCUCCCAACGAGUACAAAGAGGUUAUCAAUCUCCCCGACCUUCUAGUUUGCAAAGGAUCAAAACUCAAGCGGGAAGGUAGCAGUGAUUGCUUCGGAAAAGUAAAUGAAACUGGUAAAUGAUGGAGGUGUAAAUAAUGAUGGUGAUAUGGACCGGAGUCACAUGAUGUUCGCUAGUGAUGUCUCUCUCCCAAAAGACGAUAAACAACUAUGCUUGGGUAAACAAAUCACAGUUGGGCAAUUGACAUAAUUAUGAUCGCACUGCAAUGCUAAUUAUGAUACUUCAUAGUUAGAGGUUCAAUAGUAAUGGGCAGUACGCCAAGACAAGUAGACCGUUUAUUCAUCAGCAUCUACUUACUAAUCAGCCACCUUGAGAUAUCUAUUCAGAACAUGACUCCGGUAUUAAGUUGCGAGCCCCACCCAAAGUGUAAACUCAAAGCAACGGACAACUACAUUAACGAACUAUGUGUAAGGUAAACAAUCCUUGCAACCGUGGUCACAAGCACCGUUUUUUUUCCCUGGUGGCAACAACCACAUCCCCUAGUCUCAUGUUUCUGUCACUCAAGCUAGACAUCGAGGGGCAUGAACCCACAAUCAUGCAUAACGCUCCCUCUUGGAGUUACAAUCUACUACUUGGCCAAAGCAAUAAAAAGCAACGGAGAACAUGCAUGAAUCACUAAGGAACAUAAUAUAAAAGGAUAAUCAAAUAUAUAACUCAUAACAAUCUGAGCAUAAUCUCAUAAUCCAUCGGAUACCAACAAACCGAGCAUAGCAAUAGCAAGAGAAUUACAUAGAUGCAUUGAUCGUGUAGGGCAGCUCACAAGGACUAACCAUUGAAGCACAAUAUUGAAGAGAAGACAUCACAUAGCUACUGGUCAUGGACUCAUGGUCCAAGGAGGACUACUCAUGGCACGUCCAAUAAGCGUCCAUGGCGGUGGAGAAGCUCCCGGAGGUCAAUCCUCCCUCCGGCAGGGUUCCGGGAAGAGGUCUCCUAACACUGCCGAUCCUGGAAGCGCUCCGGCGGUGGAACGAUGGAGAAAUUCGCAAUUCCAGAAAGUCUGCGAGGGUGUCCUCUCGGGACUCUAAAUAUAGGCCAAAGGAGGGCACCGGAGGAGGUAGGACCGACCCACGCGACCUCCUGGAGCAGCUUCGGUGAUCCGGAAGCUUCCGUUUCGCUGAUUUUUUUAUAUAAUUUUUCUGGAUUUUUUCGGGCUUCGGAAAAUUGGGUAAAAGCCCGUACAAAAUAGACAUCAAUAGACAUAAACUGGCACUGGAUGCACUGAGUUAGUAGGUUAGUCCAAAUAUGUGUAAAAUGAUAUAAAAGUGAAGCAAAACAUAUAACAUUGUCACCCAAAAGAUCAUGGAACAAGCAGAAAUUAUAGAUACGUUUGGAACGUAUCAUCCACACAAACUACAGAACAGCGCCAACUUCUCAUACCGCACCAAGAACACUUGGCGCUCUUUUCCCCUGACGUUGCUGACAAAUUUGGUGAGGGGUAAACGAACAUCAUGGCGAACCCUAAUUCUGACAUAGUCACAUUGGGUAUUCCCGUUCAAUCUCAUCUCCACAAUCUCUCCUGAAUUUUGAAGUAGCAGUUCCACUAUAUUCUUCUUACAAAAACCAUUCGUCGGUUUGUGGAUUUGGAGCCAGAUCGGCAUCAACACCAUCGACACCGCUUCUGCCUUUGUGAACCAUCAUAUGGGCACAUCAACACUAGCCAAUUCCUGGAUAGCCAUGGCCCCUGAUCCAUCAUAUGCUCCCAAUCUCCCAGGCAUGAAGCGUGCACACCAAAUAAAUUCGGGCCAACCGGACGAAACCUAACUUUCUACGCACGAUUCCAUGCGGCACGCAUAUCUUUGUAGAGCGCAGCUUGGCUGAAUGAUUUUUACAUGUGUACCCUAGCUAGGGCAAGCCAUCUCACGCUAUCAUUGAUCUCAUGAUCAGCAUCAUCAAUCACGAGAUCAUCGAAGAUUUCAUCCUCAAGGUUAAGCUACCCGAGAACAUCGCCAAGAUCCGGAGUCCAGGCGGAGCCACCGCCACCGCUGGUCCCAGAUUGGACGUCCUCAAGGUUAUCCAUCGCCUCCUGACUAUGCGAGGGAAGCUAUGCCAAAGUUAUCGAAGCUCUCACACCACGGGAGGCGGACCCGAUCGGAAGAAGGACUCACUGGCGAUGGAAUCGCCACACAGGAUAGGAAACCCUAACUGUGAGGAAGGGGAAGGUGACACGUAUUCUUAGGGUAACGUUCCUUCUCUUUGUGACCAAAUCACAACCGAGUAAUAAAUAUAUAAAAAUGGUUCUCGUUCCAUGCUAAGCUAGGAUGUUUGAAAACAUGAAUUUCAUUUCAAAUUGUGAUUGUGAUCCUAGAGUUUAUAAUUGAAUCUCGGACAUAAAGACGACCGGCCAACGGCGAUCCAGUGUGCUCUCUCCGGGUUGAAAUAGGUUUGUAUGAAUGAUGGAGGAUUAUAUAUUUACAUUGCAUUGUUUUUUUAUUUACAAAAUAAAAGCUUUGUGGAUUUUAGGAUUGGGUCAUCAAAUUUGUAUGGGAUCCAUUCUUCUCCUUUUUUAGAAGAUCAAGGUCCUAGAUUAAAAUGCUUUACAUGGCCAUCCUUACAUGUCAUGUCUAUGUCUAAUAUAGAUGGUCAUAGCUAUGACUAGGUGCCACAUCAUCAGUUUUGCCUACGUGUCAUGUCUAUGUGCCAAUUUUGCCCUAGUUUGUGAAGCAACCUACUAUUCUGUCAUUCCAAAAAUUCUCCAAAAGUUCUCAGAAAUCCUUUGGAUCAUAUAUUCCUCAAAUAUGUGAAAACCCUUCCUUCCAUAGUUCAAAAAUAAUUCUACAAUAUUCUUUUCCUAUUCUGUUGAGAUUAGCACUUUGUGAAGGAAGUGAUAUUUCAAUUUUUUUUGAUUGCCCUCAAAUUUUUGGUCACUCUUGCUUAUCGAAAUCAUCGUCUCCUGAAAGUUUCAUGUCCAUUUGCCUAGUAAAUCUUUCUUAGCAAAUUUCCAAAGUUUGUGUUCAGCUAACAACUUUGUGAAGGAAGUACGAGCUAGGAUUAUCCUAGUGAGUUGAAUUUUUGCCACAUCUUCUAUAUGCCAAAUCCAUAGCUCUCUAGAAAAUUUUAGCCCCAUCUAACAAUCCAUGUGAGCUAAUCACACAAUCUUUGUUUCUGGUAAUAUUUUGAGUUUGUGAAGCAACUACAUUUUAUAUUGCUUUAUAAUUGAUGAAAAAUUAGCAUGGCAUGAACCAUAGAACCUCCCUCCACCAAUUUUUAGCUCAUUUAAUUUAGCCAGCUCCCUCAAUAUGUUUCCCAAUGUUCUGUUCAGUGGAGAGCAUUGUGAAGGAAGUGCAAUUUUUAUUUAUCCAAAUUUUAUGAAAUUUUUAUAGUGUCUUAAUGUGCUCAAGUUAUCAUUCUCCUCCAAAUUUCAGCUAAAUACAAUCAUAUAUGUGAUUCCAGUUGCAAUUACCAUUUUUUGUCGAGAUUAGCACAUUGCGAAGGAAGUGUCAUUUUGGCAUGUCCAAAUGGUAUAAUUAUUUUACAAUUCCUUCAUAUGCCCAAAUGAACAUCAUCCACCAAAUUUCAGCUCAAUUCAUUCAUUCAUUUGAUCCUAGCAUCAACAUCCAUAUUUCUGCACAGUGUGGUACUUUACAAAGCAAGUGCCACCUAAAAUCAUCCAUUUGAGCUAAAAAAUCCAAGAGAGUCUCCUUAGUAGGUGAUCAUCCUCAGCAAAAAUUUAGGCCCAUUGUCCAUGUGCAUUCCCCCCACCGCUAAUCAAACACUUGGGUGCUAAUUCAUGUUUGAGCUUACUUCUUUCUACUCGUGAGAUUUUUUUAUUGUAUUCUUCUUCCUAACACCUACCCAGGGACUGUCCAACCCACCAGACAUGCCUAGUCCACCCAGAACGCGUGGCAACUCCAUGAUCAGGCGGUGACCACGCGUCUGGCAUGCUAGUUUACACGCUAUGGAGUUGUGGCCCUCGCCCACCAUCCAAACCUCGACGUCUCCCCCACCACACANNNNNNNNNNNNNNNNNNNNNNNNNNNNNNNNNNNNNNNNNNNNNNNNNNNNNNNNNNNNNNNNNNNNNNNNNNNNNNNNNNNNNNNNNNNNNNNNNNNNUCCGGGAGUUCACCGGGGCGGGGAGGGCAACCCACCCCGGGGAAGCCCAUAGGACUUGAGGGUGGCACACCAGCCCUUAGUGGGCUGGUUGGACAGCCCAAAAGGGCUCUAUGCGCCAAGAAGAGAAAAUCAAGAGAAAAAAAAUGGAGGAGGUGGGAAGGAAGGGGGACUCCCUCCCACCAAACCAAGUCCAACUCGGUUUGGGGGGAGAGUCCUCCCCCCUUGGACUCGGCCGACCCCCUUGGGGCUCCNNNNNNNNNNNNNNNNNNNNNNNNNNNNNNNNNNNNNNNNNNNNNNNNNNNNNNNNNNNNNNNNNNNNNNNNNNNNNNNNNNNNNNNNNNNNNNNNNNNNNNNNNNNNNNNNNNNNNNNNNNNNNNNNNNNNNNNNNNNNNNNNNNNNNNNNNNNNNNNNNNNNNNNNNNNNNNNNNNNNNNNNNNNNNNNNNNNNNNNNNNNNNNNNNNNNNNNNNNNNNNNNNNNNNNNNNNNNNNNNNNNNNNNNNNNNNNNNNNNNNNNNNNNNNNNNNNNNNNNNNNNNNNNNNNNNNNNNNNNNNNNNNNNNNNNNNNNNNNNNNNNNNNNNNNNNNNNNNNNNNNNNNNNNNNNNNNNNNNNNNNNNNNNNNNNNNNNNNNNNNNNNNNNNNNNNNNNNNNNNNNNNNNNNNNNNNNNNNNNNNNNNNNNNNNNNNNNNNNNNNNNNNNNNNNNNNNNNNNNNNNNNNNNNNNNNNNNNNNNNNNAAAUUUUUGUUUCCCAUGCGACGUUCCCCAACAGCCAUUGCAUUAGUUGCAUCGGUUUGAGUUCUCCACGGUGAUACGUGGAAGUGAAGUUUGAGAAGCUUAUUACCUUUGGUACUUAGUACCCUAGAUAUUGUUCUUCGUGGAUGCUUUGGCGUCCUAGAAGCUUGGUGUUGUCUCGAAGCUCAAUUAUUGUGGUGUAAAGCUCCGAGCAAGCGUAGGGGUCUCCAAUUAGGUUGUGGAGAUUGCCCCGAGCAAUUUGUACGGGUACCGGUGAUGGGGUUAUAGUCCUAGGGUAGGGUCAUAGGCCUGCCCUAUAGGUCCUACCCAAGGACUACCCUUCAUAAGGGACAAGGCCCUUAGUCAGUUNNNNNNNNNNNNNNNNNNNNNNNNNNNNNNNNNNNNNNNNNNNNNNNNNNNNNNNNNNNNNNNNNNNNNNNNNNNNNNNNNNNNNNNNNNNNNNNNNNNNAACUUUUGCAUAUUAAAAAAUAGGUAUUUUGAAUAUAAAUGCUGACGAAUUUUUAUUUUGAAUUAAAAAUAGGAUUCAAGAAAGCGCCGGAUUUUUAUAUUUUUUUGCAAAUUCCAAAACAAUGUCCAUGAAUUUAAUAAAUAUAUUACUGACUUANAAAAAUGUUGGUUUAUUCAAAAAAACUUCAUGCGUUUCAAAAAAUGUUUGUGAAUUUAAAAUAAAAUCCUCCAACAGAAAAAAUUAUGUUCGUCUUUUCUUGAGUUGGUCGCCAAUUCAAAAGAAAAUAUUUAAACUCGUUCGAAAUAUAAAAAAUAUUCACGAUUUUUAGUAAAUGUUUGUAAAUGAUAAAAAAUGUUCUCAAUUUUAAAAUUGUUUCCAUAUUUGUAAAAUUGUUCAUGAAUGAUCUAAUGUAUGUAGUUAAACAUUAAUGCUUCUAAAUCUUUGUGACAAUAUACCUGUGUGAAUUUUGAAGAAUUAACUGUUGGAUGGAUCGGAUUAUUAUUGUAUGUUUUUUAAAAAAAAUUCUUGAAAUUCAGAAUAAAUCUUUGGGUUACCAAGAUUUUUGACAACCAUGAUAUAUAUUUUUUGAAAAUGUAAAGAUUGCUUUAACUUGUUAAUAAAUUUAAAAAAAGAAACAUUUUCUUGCAUUUGUACAUAAAUUUUUUAAAUCAAGCGAUGAUAUGCGAACGUAAUAUGGUCACCAUCAUUGAAGAUUUUGUUUUUUUCUUCCGUGGCAACGCACGGACCAUUUUGCUAGUUAUGAAUAAAGAAAGUAUAAUCUAAUGCACAUGAUAACUCAGACCCAUUAUGCAAAUAGUAGUGCAACAGAAAUACUUUCUCCGUUUCUAAAUGAAGUCUAACUUUUUUCUACUACGUACUACAUACUAAACAAAAUGAAUGAAUCUUCACCUUAAAAUAUGUCUGUAUACAUAUGUAUGUAGUUCGUAGUGUAAUCUUUAAAAUAAUCUACAAUGGGACUUAGCAAAAAUAACCCCUACACACCCACGAACGCAUCCGGUCUGUGACUGAGCGUGUAUGUUUUGAACCCUUACAUUUUUCGUCCGUGUAGCUGCAUUUUUUUUUCAUAUGUCCGGUGACUUCAACUUGAUUGAUGGAAAAGAAGUGAGAGAAAGAAAAUUGAAUAAGGAAAAAGAAAAUAUGGUCUAGGAUGGGGCCAAGUUAUACUGACGCGUCCGUGAGCUCUUAUAUCAUCUCUUAAUUUAAGAUGAAUUUGAGAAGUACCGGCGAGUCAAACAUUUAGAAAGGAAAUGAAGGGUCUGAUUAAAUCAUUUUUUUAGUGGAAGCAAAGGCGGAGCUUUAGCCUAAUAUGUGUGUGUGUGUGUGUGGGUGGGGGGNGGGGGGGGGGAGGGACAUAACUAUUACAGCAGUUUUCACGGAGAAAUAGGCCUAAUACAAAGCAAUAUAUAUAAAUUUCUUGUGAGCUGAGGGAGCCAUGGCCAGGUUGGCCCAUGAAGUUUCACUGAGUGGGAGGGCAUGCAUUUCAAAAGCUUGUGGAGGAUAUAUGGGUCCUGUAGAUGNNNNNNNNNNNNNNNNNNNNNNNNNNNNNNNNNNNNNNNNNNNNNNNNNNNNNNNNNNNNNNNNNNNNNNNNNNNNNNNNNNNNNNNNNNNNNNNNNNNNCACCCAGUUACGUUGCGAUGUUUGAUACACACAAAGCAUUCCUCCGGUGUCAGUGAGUUAUAUGAUCUCAUGGUCAUAGGAAUAAAUACUUGACAGCAGAAAACAGUAGCAACAAAAUGACACGAUCAACAUGCUACGUCUAUUAGUUUGGGUCUAGUCCAUCACUUGAUUCUCCUAAUGACGUGAUCCAUUUAUCAAGCAACAACACCUUGUUCAUAAUCAGAAGACACUGACUAUCUUUGAUCAACUGGCUAGCCAACUAGAGGCUUGCUAGGGACGGUGUUUUGUCUAUGUAUCCACACAUGUAAAUGAGUCUUCAUUCAAUACAAUUAUAGCAUGGAUAAUAAACGAUUAUCUUGAUAGAGGAAUUAUAAUAAUAACUAUAUUUAUUAUUGCCUCUAGGGCAUAAUUCCAACAAUGGCAAGGGCACACGGAGUGCCCAAGUCCUUCUCUCCCAAAUCCCACCGGAGGAACUAAUGCUAGGGAGGAAAAUGAGAGGAAGAACAAAGAAGAACACGAAGAACUCCAAGAUCUAGACCCAAGGGGUUCCCCUCACUUAGAGGAGAAAGUGAUUGGUGGAAAUGUGGAUCUAGAUCUCUUCUCUCUUAUCCCUCAAGAACUAGCAAGAAUCAUUGGAGGAUUGAGAGUUAGCAAGCUCGAAUAAGGUUAACAAUGGGGGAAGAACACGAGCUAAAGAGAUAAGGUUCAAUGGGGAAGAAGACCCCCUUUUAUAGGAGGGGAAAAAUCCAACCGUAAGCCUCACACCCCGCACAAAGUGGUACUACCGCUCAUGGGAGCGGUACUACCGCUCGGUAGGUUCACCAACCAUGCCGAGGCCACGAAAAACAGUCCGACGGAGCGGUACUACCGCUAGGGAGAGGUAGUAAAAAAUUACUACCGCUCCGGGGCGGUACUAACUCUCCGGGGGCGGUAGUACCGCUACACGAGCAGUACUACCGCUCGCACCACGAGCGGUACUACCGAUUGAUAAUGAAACUGUUGUAACUUUCGCAUACGAACUCCGAAUUCAACGAAUCAAAAUUUGUUGGAAAGCUAAUGACAUGGGCUAACACAAUAUUGAUAGAAAUAUCAAUAAGAAGCAAGUGACAAAAGUCCCAUAAGAAAAUGGUGAGAACCCUUCUUCGAAUAAGACCGGUAAAAACUCCCAACAUCGAAAACAUCAUAGAAGGUGCAUAUGGACUCCGUUUUCGAUGAACUCGAGCGUGUCAUGAAGAUGACCAUAAGCUCCAAAACUCACAAAGAGAAAUAGCAAACAAGAACCAAGAAGUAUGAUGCAACGAUGCAAAUGGUUUGAACUCUCAACGAACGAUACGAUCAAGCUACUCACUUGAGAGCCCCCCUUGACAGUACGACAAUCUAUCCUAAAACAGAAAGCCCAUCAAGGGAAAACCUAUACCUUGCACCUCGUCCUCUUGAGAUAGAUGACGAUGAUCUUGGCUUCCUCAAGAUGGACCACCUUUCUUGAUUGCGUUAGCUUGAUGAAGACUAGUUGAUUGCUCCCCCAUAGACACUAUGGGUGAGCCGCUCUUCAGCAUAUCUUCACAAGUCCAUUGCCACCAUUCUCCACCACUUGACGUCAUCCUCCAUGGGUUGGUAUGAGAUCUUCCUCUUGACGCAAGCCCAUAGAAACACACCUAACCCCACAUAGAACUCUCACGAAGACCAUGGGUUGGUACACAAAUACGUAAUGGACAAUGCUUACCAUACCAUGGGAUCACUUGAUCCCUCUCAGUACAUCUUGUACGCUUUGUGUGUUGAUCAUCUUGAUUUACUCUUUGUCUGACGAUCUUGAUCAACCUUGUGUCUCUAUGACCAUUCUUUGGAUAAUACCUUGAAUACCACCUUGGUCAUCAUAUAAACUCCUUGAACCCAACAGAUGGACUUCAAGAAGUGCCUAUGGACAAAUCCUAUAAAUAUAACUUAAGGAAAUCAUUAGUCCGUAGGAAUUGUCAUCAACUAUCAAAACCACAUAUGGAGAUAUAUGCUCUAACAACGGUGAUGGGAUUGGAUGAGAUUUGUCAUGUAAUCAAGUUAUUUUUAUAUUGCCUGAUCCCGAGUAUCCACUAUGUUAUGAGAUUGAUCUUUCUAUGACUUUGAUAUGCUUAAUGCUUGUCACUAGGCCCCGAGUGCCAUGAUUUCAGAUCCGAACCUUUUAUGUUUGCAUGAAAAUGAGAGUGAUUUGGUCCUAACUUUCAAGUUGUAUGCACCUAUUAUGUGUCAUGAUCCGCAUACCCCACGGGGACAAUAAUUGAAAAAAUUUCCGGUAAUUACCGUAGUUUAAGGAAUUCAUGUAUUGACUAUGUGUUAAUGUUUUGUUACGGUUCUCUAUUAAAAAGAGGUCUUAAUAUCCCUUAGUUUCCUUAUGGGCCCCGCAGGCACGAGAGAGUAGGACAAAAGAUGCCAUGCAAGUCCUAUAUAAGCACAUAUGACUAUAUACAUAAUACGUGUCUACAUUACAUUGAUGAAUUGAAGCUAGUUCUAUAUCGCUCAAGUAUGUCACUGUUACAUAACGAAUGUUAUCCAUUAUACUUAUCCAUCACCGAUCGAAAUGCCUAUACUUUUCAUAUACUGAAUCUUGCUAACAUACUAUUGGUGCUUCUACCGUUACAAUCACUAUAAAAUUGUUGUUGUUACUGUUACCGUUAGUAGUACAAUUUUGAUGUGCUAUUAAAACUUUUGCUAUAGAGAGAUAUCGCAGGUGUGGUUGAAUUGACAACUCAAUUGUUAAGACCAAUAAAUAUUCUUUCUCUCCUCUUGUGUGUCAAUCAAAAUUAAGGUGUAAUACUAUUCGUGAAGACUGUUGCAAUCCCUACACUUGUGGGUUAUCAGCCCCUAUCCUUGUCGCAGCUCCGGCGGUCGAGUUGUCCAACCCCGACCGCCUAAUUUUAGCGCGUAUAGCAAUCGGAUUUGGAGCGGAUCUUGCCGGAUUUGAGCUCACCCGACUGCGGGAGGCCGCGCCAUGUCAUGGACUAGCCGGGUUCCAAACCGCACAGCCCUGGAAAUGCGUUGAUGCCACAUGUAGGUAUUGACUCCGUCUCUAGCCGUUUGGAUCUAGCUCUUCAUCGGUCCACUGACAGAUACAUCAACGGCCGUAGUCCGGGCUCGAUGCUGGCCCAAAUGUUCAUCGGCUCAUCGUUGCCGCUCGUAAAGUGCAUGACUGUCUAGUGAAGGUUGUGUGCCGCAUGUCUAGAACGACGGAACAUCCCAGAUGGGUGUUCGUCAAGUGCGAAAACAAUGGGGUAUGUGCUACCUUGCUUCGGCCGUGCUUCCGGAUUCGGUGCAUUUUACUUAUACUAAAAAAUUGUUGUGUACGAAGGAUGCAACUUUUGAUAUUGGGAAAAAUAAAAAAUCGGUCUAUUGAUAGAACAAAAUUUGAUAUAUGUUCGUGCACUUCUUGCUUGAACAGAGGCAAAAAAUAAAAUAAGAUACGAAGAAGCACCAUUUAAUUCUUUAGACUCGAAGAACAAAGAAGCGUGCAAGAUCGAUAAUCCGCAUAUCAACAAUGAAAGCAUUGAGAAGAUACUAUUCAGCUUGCGGGAGCAGUUAUGAAAGUUAAUAUUUUUAAAAUGUCUUCUUAUAAUUCUUGUUUUCUUCGGUCUUACUACUCUAACCAAGAUUUGAUGAAGGUAAUUCAAUGUAUCAAAAAAAAUUGUUGAUGAAAAUAUUAAGAAAUGCAGCGAAAAAAUGUGUGCGGACGAGAUGCGUCCGCGUGUUGAACCCACGGUCGGUGCAUUCAGAAAGCUGGACAGACUCCGCUCUAUUAUCUUCUCUAAAUGGACGAAAUCCGAACAAAAUGGACAUUCGUUUGAAGUUGUCUGUUGGAGUUUCCCUAAAUCAUAGCUGUUGAUCAUCCAAACACAUCUUCUUCUUUUGCAAUGUAUGCACGGGUAUAGCAGAGUAGAGCAUGGUAGAUGGAGAGGAAAGAUAGUCCAAAUACAUCUUGCUUGUUUGCAAAUCUCUUAAAAUAGGCUUUCGUCCCGCUAUAUAUCCAUAGCAACCAUACAAUACAACAUGAAACCACUGCUGGGGUAAAUAGCACAUACACACCCAAAAAAAAGAUGAAACAAUGCCAACACCCGCGGAUUAACAAAUCAACAAUGGCUCGCAACCGCUUCGUCCCCUCGGGAGUAUUCCAUCACGAUCCAAGCACUCUAAUUCAUCAUGUACCAAGCAGCACCUUUAAGAAGUAUAGUGACGAUGACCACAUUGCUACCUGGACAUGUCUUAGAGUUUUCCCCGGUACGCUCCGAGUGGGGAGGAGGUACACCAGACACACUUCAUGAAGGAAGGGUGAUACUCUCCAGUAUCACCAUGUCGGUGUCGAAUGACAAGGAUUUCUCCCGACACCCAAAACACCACCUCCCGGACAAUGAGAGGCGCUCCACCAAGCAUGCCAUCCACCAAGCCACCACGGUCUUGCAGUCACCAUUAUCGUCUCACCAUAGCACACGCAGCAAGGCCGGUCAGUCUGAGGCGAAUCACCCAUAGACAAGGUCCGACAGGAGGACAACCACGCAAGAGGGAACCACCUGCACCAUCCAAGAUGGUUGCCGUCCGUACACGACGACGAGAGCACACCGAGCCAUUGGAACCGGAGGGCCGGUGCAGGACGUCCUCCGGGUGGCUGCGCUACUGCACGUAGGCUGCCGUCGCCGCUACCCUCAUGAGAAAUCCAAAAGCUCAGUCGGGCAUGGACAAGCCCGUGAAGCUCCCAUCGCCACGCUACAACAGUGCGGCGUCAACGUUGUCAUCCCCGUAGCGAGCCGCACCGCAGUCUAACUAAAGGCAACGAGGCAGGCCGGCCUGACCCGGACCGGGCCCGAGGGGCCCAAAUUUGGGCUUGCAGGGCAAGAGCGCCACCACCGCCGCCUAGCCACCAACGACAGCACCUCCGCCACUAAGACCACCCACGCCGCACCAGGGGGAAGCCCCGCCGCCGCGCCGGUCCUCUGCCGCCGAGAAGCACCACUUGGACCCGAGCUGCCCCGCGCCACCCAAGCCAGGAGGGGGAGGGUCGGAGGUCCGCCGCCACCAGGGUCACCGACCAAGGGCCGGCGCUACACACCAACGACGACGGGAGGGAGGAGGUAAGAAGGGGGAUGGAGGCGGGAGGUGGGGGGCGCGGCCCGGCUGCCGCGACGACGGCGCGGGUCGUGAGAGCAGAGGGGAGGAGGGGUCCGCUGAACUUAGUCUUCCAUUCGAUUCAUGUGGUCUCGUUUGUUUGCAAAUUGCAAUGCUUUACACGAAAGCACAAUCAUUGUUCAUCCACCCCUUAUAUGUCCGCGUACGUAUCCGAUGAGUGACCGGGCAGGAAAGAGAAGGAAAAAAAUGAUCUAAUCAAACCCUUCAUAUAAUCACUAUAUGUUCUGGAUGUUCGUGAAUCCUUAUAUCCAUCUUAAAUAUAUUAAGAAUAUGACGGCUCGUUAACGCGCCCAGACGUGUCCGAUCAAUCUGUCACGUAGGACACGACCCUAUCCCAAACCAUUUUUUUUUCUUUUUUUUUUCUCUUCGUCUUUAUCAAUCACGUUAAGUGAUUGUACUCCCUCCGUCCCAAAAUUCUUGUCUUAGAUUUUUCUAGAUAUGGAUGCAUCUAGAUACUAAAACGUGACUAGAUACAUCCAUAUCUAGACAAAUCCAAGACAAUAAUUUUGGGACGGACAGAGUACAUAUGAAAAAUAAAAUAAAAAAAUAUAGCUGCACGAACGAACUAAUAAAGGACACGCUCAAUCACCAACUUAACAUGUACGUAGAUGUUUACGGAAUCAUAUUUGCUAUUAUGUCGGGCUGUAGAUGCUCUCGUCUCCGCAUGCACAGACAAUGAGCCGCACAUGAAGCAAAGCGAAACUGUCGUGACCCCAACAAGCAGGCAAAGGGAGAGAGAGAAGACAACUCACCCGAUCGAUCCGCAUGAUUUCCCAUUUCCCCAACCCCGAGCAGUGAGGAUGCACCCUCUGUCGACUGACUUGCCGAUCGAUUGGAAACCCGGCAAUUCCUUCCGUUCGUUAGUGUCAUCGAUUGGGCAGACAGAAAGCUACAAGGGACACGAAGAAACGAAACAAAUCACCAGUCAGUCGGUCGGUCAGCUAGCUAGCACCGCAGCAUGUGCCCCGCCGCUGUGAUCUGAUUCUGGUUGCCUUCCCGGCUUCCUCCCCGACAUCCGGCUGAGUGGUGGUUUCCAUGUGUAUGUGGCAAUCUCGUGGCCUCCUUCCUCUCCGACACCUACUCGCUCCAUGACUCGAUCGAUCGAUCCCCUCCGGCCGUUUGCGAGCGCCAAGACAUUGGCCCAUAUUCCCGUAUGCUAUACGGUCUGUAUGUCAGUGAGAGGUUCAAAGUUACGGAUAGUUUGGAUGGUUUCUCGAACGUCUUUGGAACGACCGUAGGAUUGGAGUCUAGGACCAGGCGGAGAAGACGACUUUUAAAAUCCUUUCACAUUUUGACUCGAUGAGUUGAGCCUGGCCUGACCAUGCAUGGUAAAUCCACAGCCAACGCCGACAAUUAUUCCCAAGCCAGCGCACCGCAAACCAUUUGAUACGAACACUCGUACGUGCUCGGUGCACGCUCCACAACAUUUGACCUACCCUCUCAAGUACAUGAAUCGUCGUUUGUAUAUGUGAUUGACAAAAAAGAGUUUCCUCUCAUUUUAUAUUAUAAAGCAACAACCAACCGAUACAACCGGCUCGUUGGGCCACAGUACAAAUAAGCCCAAAGGAAAAAAAGAAAGAAAGACAAGAGAAAAGCAAAGAUGGCCGACAACCGCCGCACUCUUCGGAGAAGUACCACCGCAUGUCAAGCAUUUUGAAGCCUCGCAUACCAGGCAACACCUUCAGAAAGGAAAGCGACGACGACGACGCUGUUGCCUGGACAAGUCCUAGGGUUUCCCCCUGUUAGAGCAUAUUUCUUCAUAUGUGGUUUUGGUAAUUGAUGACAAUUUCUAUGGACUAAUGGUUACCUUAAGUUAUAUUUAUAGGAUUUGUCCAUAGGCACUUUUUGAAGUCCGUCUGUUGGGUUCAAAGAGUUUAUAUGAUGACCAAAAUGGUAUUCAAGGUAUUAUCUAAAAAAUGGUCAUAGAGACACAAGGUUGAUCAAGAUCGUUAGACAAAGAGUAAAUCAAGAUGAUCAACACACAAAGCGUACAAGAUGUACCGAGGGGGAUCAAGUGAUUCCAUGGUAUGGUAAGCAUUGUCCAUUACAUGUUUGUGUACUAAUUCAUGGUCUUCGUGAGAGUUUUAUAUGAGGUUAGUUGUGUUUUCAUGGGCUUGCGUCUAGAGAAGAUCUCAUACAACCCAUGAAAUACGACAUCAAGUGGUGAUCGUCAUCAAGAUUGCGGUGUGCAAGUUCAAGUGGAUCAGCAUGAAACUAUUAUGCUUGAAGCUUGCCGUCCAUUGUGGUGUCAAUGGACUUGCGAAGAUAUGCUGAAGAGCGGCUCACCCAAGCUGUGUAUGGGGAAGCAAUCAACUAGUCUUCAUCAAAGCCAACACAAUCAAGAAGGUGGUCCAUCUUGAGGAAGCCAAGAUCAUCAUCGUCUAGCUCAAGAGGACGAGGUGCAAGGUAUAGGUUUGUCCUUGAUAUGUUUUUUCUUUUAGGAUAGAUUGUCGUACUACCAAGGGGGGCUCUCAAGUGAGUAGCUUGAUCGUAUCGUUCAUUGAGAGCUCAAACCAUUUGCAUCCUUGCAUCAUACUUCUUGGUUCUUGUUUGGUGUUUCUCUUUGUGAGUUUUAGAGCUUAUGGUCAUCUUCAUGACAAGCUCGAGUUCAUCGAAAACGGAGCACAUAUGCAUCUACUAUGAUGUUUUUGAUGUUGGAGUUUUUGUCGAUUCUUCAUUCAUAGAGGUGUCACAUCGUUGUUUGGAUAGUUCUUGUCGUCCUGAAUCCAACAAACUUCGGUUUGCUCGAUUCGGAGGUCGUAUGCGAAAGUUAUGGCUGUUUCAGUGGCGAGCGGUAGUACCGCUUGUUCCAAGCGGUAGUACCUCUCUCUGAGAGGUUGUAUUUCGUCGGACUUUUUGCGAAUAAUUUUUCAAGCGGUGGUAGGGCCGACAGUAAUAUCUUUACUACCGUGACCUAGUAGUAGUACCGCUCUUCGCCAGCGGUAGUACCGCUGUGCGCGGUCUGUAAGUGGGGGGUAACGGUCUGAUUCCUUCCCACACUAUAUAAAGGGGGUCUUCUUCCCCCUUGGACUGAUCUAUCUAUUGAGCUCGUGUUCUUCCCCCAUUGUGGACCUUCGUAGAUCUUUCUAACUCUCAAUCCCUCCAAUGAUUCUUGCUAGUUCUUGAGGGAAAAGAAAGAGGAGAUCUAGAUCCACAUAUCCACCAAUCACUUUCUCCUCUAUGUGAGAAGAACCCCUUGGAUCUAGAUCUUGGAGUUCUUUGUGAGCUCCUUGUUCUUCCUCUCAUAUUUCUCUAUAGCUUUUGUUGUUGUGGAGGGAUUUGAGUGUGAGGGACUUGACCACUUCGUGUGUUCUUGCCAUUGCAUUAGUUGCAUCGGUUUGAGUUCUCCACGGUGAUACGUGGAAGUGAGAAGUUGAGAAGCUUAUUACCCUUUAGUACUUAGUACCCUAGAGAUUGUUCUUCGUGGAUGCUUUGGCGUCCUAGAAGCUUGGUGGUGUCUCGGAGCUCAAUCAUUGUGGUGUAAAGCUUCGGGCAAGCAUCAGGGUCUCAAAUUAGGUUGUGGAGAUUGCCCCGAGCAAUUUGUACGGGUACCGGUGACUGCCUCCAAGGGUUGCCAUUUGUACGGGUUCGGUGACUGCCCUCAAGAGUCCCUUAGUGAAAUCACGACAUGUUGCAUUGUGCGAGGGCGUGAGGAGAUUAUGGUGGCUUUAGUGGCAUCUUGGUGAGCAUUGUGCCUCCACACCGCUCCAACGGAGAUAGCAUCCACAAGUGUGUGGACUUCGGGAUACAUCAUCGUAUCCGCGUGCCUCGGUUAUCUCUUACCUGAACCCUUUACUUAUGCACUUUACUUUGCGAUAGUCAUAUUGUUUAUUGUCAUAUAUCUUGCUAGAACUUAGUUUUUAAUCUUGCUUAGCAUAAGGAGUUGGUGCACAUAGGUGAGCCUAGUUGUUUUAGGUUUUGUGCUUGACAAAUUAAACGUUAGUUUUAUUCCGCAUUUGUUCAAGCCUAAACCGUAAUUAUUUUAAAGCGCCUAGUCACCCCCCUCUAGGCGACAUCCACGUCCUUUCACCCCCGGUACGCGGAUGGCAGUGAGGAAGGGGUAUCACCGACGCCCCUCAAAAAAGUUCGGCGACUCCCACGAGCCGCCAGGGAUUUCUUCCGCCCUGAAACCACCACCGUCACUCCGGACAAUCGAAAGUGCACCGCCCACAAUGCCGCCCACCAACCUGUGCCACCAAGAUCAUCGCACCAACUUCACCGUCUCACUGAGGCCACCAACACGAGACCUGGAGGGAGGACAAGGAGAUACCGGGCUCGAGGCAACCGCAACGCACCAGACUGGAGGGGAGAACCUCCAUCGCGGCGCGGAGCCGACCGGGCGUAGCAAUAAGGACUUGUCAGGCCAACAUAGGCCCGACCGGACCCCCAACAGGUCUGGACAGUCCCAACAGCCGCGCUGCAGGUAGCCGGCCACCGGAGCCAUCACUACCGCAGCCACAACCGUCUCGCCGGAUCACCAGGGAGCCACGCCGUCGCGACCCAAACCGUCGGCCCGCCCUAGCCCAGAUGGGGCCCAAAAGGGCCCAAAUGUGGGUCGAGCGGGUGCCGCCGGCUAGCCACACACCGCACCGCCGCGUCAAGGACGCCCGUGGCACGCGGGAUCUCCGCCGCCGAGCUACAUCGGCGCGGUCGAGCCGCACCGUCGCCGUCACGGGACCCUCGCGCCCCCGACACGCGUGCGGGGAAAAGCCGGCUUGUCGCUGCCAGCGCCGCACGGGCAGGGCCCGACGGACCACGCCGUCGACGACGGAUGGAGGGAAGGGAGAGACGAGGAGCUGUAGGAGUGGGGAGAUCAGGGUCCGACGUCACCAACGGGAGGGGGAGCGAAGCGAACGCGGGAGGGGGGCUGGAGUGCGAGGGCGGCCGACGGUGACGGGGUGGAGGCGAGGGGGGGAGGGGAAGCCUAGCGGGAGCGGGCGCUAGGGAUCGGGGAAGAGCAGAAGCUGACAAGUGCAGCGUCAUACUACUAUACAACUUGUUUACAUCGUAUCGAGGGUGUCAAUCAAGAGGAUUAAAGAAUCUAUAAUCGGACCCUUCAUACCCUCCGUAAACAUCCGGACAGGACGCCCGCGCAAUAGGCGGUCACGAAAUUUCGACCAAAUCGAACCUCUCAAACCGACCUCAAACAUCCGAACUAACACCGAGACCUCAUCGCCACCACGAGCCCCCAAGAGAUAGGUCAACCAUCAGCACCGAGGUGACCAAGGGGAUUGGUCGCCGGAUCAUAUCACUUCCACCGCCACCACCCUACACACCAACAACCGAAACAAACACUCCAACCCAGACAACAAGCUACCAACCCCGGAUCCGUGGCUCCCGAAAACAACGCCCCAAGGAAGGAAACGACAUCUAGACAUCAUCGUCGUCUGAUGCAGAGAUGGAUAUGAGGCUUUUGUCCGUGGCACAUGAUUGAGCGGGAACUGUAGCUUUCGGACGACACCUUCAUGAAGGGAAGCGGCACCCGAAGGCGUCAUCGUCAUCGUUGCCAACAAGGUCGACACAAGGCUUUCGCCUGAAGCAUCUUGUCCUAGUCAUCUCCAAUGAAGCUGGUCGUUAAGCCCGGUAGUCCAAGACCUCCCUGUCCUCCAACCAGUCCUUGGCAAGUGUCCCCACUAGGACUAGCACAAGGCUCCGUUGACACAGAAGCUCACCUCGAGCACCUACACAGCCGGAGUGAGGUCGGUGUCGGCUGCACCUGCAUCCAAGCCCUCGCCGUCGGCCACACCCCACCACCGUCGUAGUCAAUCCCUGCUGACAGCAUCCACUGUCGACCUCUAAAGCGUGUUUAUGGGUGUCAGAUAUAUUUUGUGUUAUACUACUGAUGUGAUGGCAAAAUCUUAUUUAGCAGACAUGUAGCUUUCUCCUUGUGUGGCGUAUUUAAAUUGGGCCGUGGUUGUGGGCAAAGCUUACUGGCCGAGCGUGCAACAUGAUUGGCACAUAAGUACCUUCAUCUGAACGAGCAACGGGAUCUCGUUGAACGGGUGUUUUUUUCGAACAUUCGGGCCUGAUGCCUCCUUUGGUUUGGAGAAAUAUCAUAGGAAUUCUAUAGGAUAUGAUUCUUAUAAGAUUUUUUUUCUUUCAAAGCCCUUUGGUUCAAAAGAAUGGGUCCAUUCCUAUUCAUGCAUAGGAUUAGUUCCUAUCCUCUGCAUUUCAAAGGAAAAUAAACACAUGAGCCUAGACUCGGUGAAAAAAUUUCUAUGUUGUGAACCCAACGACAUUUCUUUUCCUAUUUAUCCAAAACAAAAAUCAACAACACUUAUUUUGAAACAGAGUGAGUAGUAAAUUGUCAAGCGCCGAGCACAAAUAUUAGGGCCAUGUUUGUUCACAGGGAUUAGACUAAAAAAUCCUUUUUAGUCUCUAUGUAUUCAAACGGGAGGGACUUUUCUUUAAGUGACUAGAAAAAGGGUCUAUUAAAGAGAUUUUUUUUAGUUCCUGAGACUAAAUAGAAGUCUAGUCCCAAACAACCCCCUAGAUUUUGCGUGGACAAGGAUGCAAGGGAAUUUGCGAGGCAGUUUUCAAAUUUUAACUCCACGGCGCCUUCCUCGUUGGAAGCAAGGCAAGUUGACAGCGGCAUCGGGAGGGAUGCGCUGGCGACGGCGACGGCACCUUUUUUCUAUGUGUGAAGGCGAUCGGGUGAAGAUCUCCGGACAAUAUUAUAGGCAGCUCGAUGCCGAUCCCGGGCGAUCCUGCCUGCCCCAACCUCCAACCACUGCCCGCUGCCCAACUUUCUUCCUUCCAUCUAUGCCUCAAAUAGCAUCAUCCAACGUGCCGCCACCCACCCGCUGCCAGGAUGCAAAUGCAACAGCAAACAACGCAGCGCCAGCACACGCCCUACUAUUUUUCGUUUAUGCGCCAUGGCCCAAAUUCCGGGCUGGCUAAUUGACCUGUCAGCCUAACCCUUCGAUCAGUUCAUCACAGAGUUUCAGUUAGUAGUAGAGCAUGGUUAAUAAUAUAGACAGCUGCAGGUUAUAUGAUGUUGUCAUGUUAUAUGUAGUCUUCAUUUUUAGCCAUUCAUACAAUAAGAUUAACUAUAAGAUUGACAAUAUGAGUAUUAUUUUUGUUUACCGUUUUUCUAUAUUUUUCUUUAUAUUUAUUGCAUCUGCCUCCAAACACGUAUAUAACUUGGCUCUUGCAUAAGAGUCCACUUCCCUUAUUUUUUUUCAUGCCUCUCUCUUUCACAUAAGCAAAAUUAUCAAUUAAGCGGGUUAUAAGUCCAUUAUUAUACUUGCUCAGAGGAGUACAGAAUAGUGGUCAGAAUAAAUAAGCCAUAGAUUAGUCUUAGAAUCAUCAUCAUCAUCAUCCAGGGCGCGCGCGCCGCGGCGGCCAGCAUUAUCUACAACUUGGUCUUCUUCACUUUCAACCUUCCUUUCCCCUCCCCUGCUCAUUCCUUCCUGAGCGCACCAAAAUUCAGCUAGUGUAAAAGUAGUAUGUUUUUUUCUUCUAGUUCUUCACUUAGAACUAAGUAAAUAUUUAACCCGCCCCCAAGAGCUGACACUAGCCAUGAGCACAUGAUGAUGAUUCUUCCAUAUGAGCAAGUAAACCCCAAAAAGUUGCAUGAGCCAACAGAAACAUGAGGUUUCUUGGUUGGGGGUCUUGUUCUUCAGGUCUCCACCGCCAGGCUGCUGCUGCCGCCGCUGGAGAGGCUCGCGUUCGU